rnacentral:rRNA from 1 species
UGGGGAAUAUUGGACAAUGGGCGCAAGCCUGAUCCAGCCAUGCCGCGUGAGUGAUGAAGGCCCUAGGGUUGUAAAGCUCUUUCACCGGUGAAGAUAAUGACGGUAACCGGAGAAGAAGCCCCGGCUAACUUCGUGCCAGCAGCCGCGGUAAUACGAAGGGGGCUAGCGUUGUUCGGAUUUACUGGGCGUAAAGCGCACGUAGGCGGACUAUUAAGUCAGGGGUGAAAUCCCGGGGGCUCAACCCCGGAACUGCCUUUGAUACUGGUAGUCUUGAGUUCGAGAGAGGUGAGUGGAAUUCCGAGUGUAGAGGUGAAAUUCGUAGAUAUUCGGAGGAACACCAGUGGCGAAGGCGGCUCACUGGCUCGAUACUGACGCUGAGGUGC